AGGCCGGCGGGUGGAGGACACUGAUGACACAAGUACAAGUCACUGGGGUUUCCCGUGUAUUAAUGGACGGACUAUGACACUCUUAAGAGCACGUCCCUGCAGUGCAGUUCAGUCAUUGGGUGUCCCAUGUGGGGAACUUGACUGUGCACAACAUGAAAGACAACAAAACGGCAGUGGGGUCAGCUGACCUCUCAAAGUGCUGCAAUGCUAAGAAUGAUGCUGACAUGGUGGGCACCCUCGAGAAGAUGGCGUGUGGAGCUGUGCAGCAGUGGCACAGGGUAUAGGUUUGGGGCCAUGGCUGGGCCAAGAGUGCAGACACAGGUGUGUGUGGCCUGUCUUUUCCUUUGGGACCGCCAUGCAACAGUGGCCCCUGAGCUAACAGUGCCAUCCGUUCUCACCAAGCUGGACCCCUGACUCCCUGUGGCCCCAGCUCCCCUGCUCCCAAAGCCCAGGGAAGCAGCAGCCGUGCUGGCUGGCCCAACACCCCAUACCCCUUCAGCCCAUCCCAGGUCGCUUUGAAGUGGCUUCAGGAGAGAGAGGUCAGCCUCGCCCCG